AAGCUGUCAACGGUGAGCGAAGGGUAUACAUAUGAGAUGCUUGCAAACCCAGGCCUGGGGGAAAGGUGCCAGAGCGCUCUGGCUUGGCGGAUUUUCGAUAUUAUAUGCAGUGCCAGUUUCGCCCUUCAGUAACACGUUGCCAAGCUGCGGAGUUAAACCGUUGCACAGUGUUGUGUGUUUCCUUGUGGAUCAAAACUCUACUGCUGCAUUGGUUUUUUACGUGGUGUUGGUGGUGCGGCCAUUCG
rnacentral:lncRNA from 1 species